AAUCUUUUAGGACAACCUCGGUGUUCCAUCCUUCAAAUAAAUUAAAGACCCACUUUGUGGAAAGCAUUUGCAAAAUCAUGUUUUGUUAUGAACUUGGGAAGGCUACUCUACAUUCACAAACCAUGGGAUGAAGAAGAAACACAACAUUCUCCUUGAUUCCGGCCUUAUAUACAUUUCAAUCCAUGUUUCUAUUUCAAUCCAUUGAUGGUAGUGAGUUAUUUCUUGGUUAAUUUU